UUGCGGAAAUGCCAACCUUGUGUUGCUGAACUCAAGAUAUGUAUCUGCUACACAAGUUAAUAUAUGUCAGUGUGCUGGUCUACAGGAUCUGUUUCUGAAUUCACCAUCUUUUCUAAUUGCAGAAAAUCAAUUUGAUCUUAAGAUAAGCUCAAGAUCAUGAGCUCGUUAGAUAAAUUAUUUAGAGGGUCAGUAAACAAAGUUUCGAGGGAACACUAUGAUGGCAACUGGCAUGAAGGCAAUUCACGUGCUCACAUCAAAGGUGCAUAUGAUGAGAGGACACGGAGGAAGAUCCUAAUAAGGGGAAUGCCAUUGGUUAUACCCAAGCAAUUUCUCUUCCCCUCAAAUGGAUACAGUUUGCUAUGCAUGAAGACCAGCCAUACCACAAAUUCCACUAUAAAGUUCUUUUUCAUACAAAAUGUGAUGCCUGCAAGAACUUUGCAAGUGUUCUCCAGCCAUGUUUAUGGAAGAACAUGGGAUUGUUAGUUGAAUCUCGACUAUUGCAUUUCUUUCUUUCCCAGAUUCCAACAAAUAAAAAUGGCCUGAUCAA